UACAGAGGUCCCAAGCGUUGUUUGGAUUCACUGGGCGUAAAGGGUGCGUAGGCGGCGAGGUAAGUNUGACGUGAAAUNUCCGGGCUCAACCCGGAAACUGCNUUGGAUACUAUCUCGCUAGAGGAAUGAAGGGGAGACUGGAAUNCUUGGUGUAGCAGUGAAAUGCGUAGAUAUCAAGUGGAACACCAGUGGCGAAGGCGAGUCUCUGGACAUUUCCUGACGCUGAGGCACGAAAGCCAGGGGAGCAAACNGGAUUAGAUACCCCGGUAGUUCCGGCCCUAAACGGUGCGCGUUUGCUGUGAGUGGAAUCGACCCCGCUCGUGGCGAAGUUAACACGUUAAACGCGCCGCCUGGGAAGUACGGCCGCAAGGUUAAAACUCAAAG
rnacentral:rRNA from 1 species